rnacentral:rRNA from 1 species
AGAGUUUGAUCAUGGCUCAGAUUGAACGCUGGCGGCAGGCCUAACACAUGCAAGUCGAACGGUAACAGGAAGCAGCUUGCUGCUUCGCUGACGAGUGGCGGACGGGUGAGUAAUGUCUGGGAAACUGCCUGAUGGAGGGGGAUAACUACUGGAAACGGUAGCUAAUACCGCAUAACGUCGCAGGACCAAAGAGGGGGACCUUCGGGCCUCUUGCCAUCAGAUGUGCCCAGAUGGGAUUAGCUUGUUGGUGAGGUAACGGCUCACCAAGGCGACGAUCCCUAGCUGGUCUGAGAGGAUGACCAGCCACACUGGAACUGAGACACGGUCCAGACUCCUACGGGAGGCAGCAGUGGGGAAUAUUGCACAAUGGGCGCAAGCCUGAUGCAGCCAUGCCGCGUGUAUGAAGAAGGCCUUCGGGUUGUAAAGUACUUUCAGCGGGGAGGAAGGUGUUGUGGUUAAUAACCACAGCAAUUGACGUUACCCGCAGAAGAAGCACCGGCUAACUCCGUGCCAGCAGCCGCGGUAAUACGGAGGGUGCAAGCGUUAAUCGGAAUUACUGGGCGUAAAGCGCACGCAGGCGGUCUGUCAAGUCGGAUGUGAAAUCCCCGGGCUCAACCUGGGAACUGCAUUCGAAACUGGCAGGCUUGAGUCUUGUAGAGGGGGGUAGAAUUCCAGGUGUAGCGGUGAAAUGCGUAGAGAUCUGGAGGAAUACCGGUGGCGAAGGCGGCCCCCUGGACAAAGACUGACGCUCAGGUGCGAAAGCGUGGGGAGCAAACAGGAUUAGAUACCCUGGUAGUCCACGCCGUAAACGAUGUCUACUUGGAGGUUGUGCCCUUGAGGCGUGGCUUCCGGAGCUAACGCGUUAAGUAGACCGCCUGGGGAGUACGGCCGCAAGGUUAAAACUCAAAUGAAUUGACGGGGGCCCGCACAAGCGGUGGAGCAUGUGGUUUAAUUCGAUGCAACGCGAAGAACCUUACCUGGUCUUGACAUCCACAGAACCCUGUAGAGAUACGGGGGUGCCUUCGGGAGCUGUGAGACAGGUGCUGCAUGGCUGUCGUCAGCUCGUGUUGUGAAAUGUUGGGUUAAGUCCCGCAACGAGCGCAACCCUUAUCCUUUGUUGCCAGCGGUCCGGCCGGGAACUCAAAGGAGACUGCCAGUGAUAAACUGGAGGAAGGUGGGGAUGACGUCAAGUCAUCAUGGCCCUUACGACCAGGGCUACACACGUGCUACAAUGGCGCAUACAAAGAGAAGCGACCUCGCGAGAGCAAGCGGACCUCAUAAAGUGCGUCGUAGUCCGGACUGGAGUCUGCAACUCGACUCCAUGAAGUCGGAAUCGCUAGUAAUCGUGGAUCAGAAUGCCACGGUGAAUACGUUCCCGGGCCUUGUACACACCGCCCGUCACACCAUGGGAGUGGGUUGCAAAAGAAGUAGGUAGCUUAACCUUCGGGAGGGCGCUUACCACUUUGUGAUUCAUGACUGGGGUGAAGUCGUAACAAGGUAACCGUAGGGGAACCUGCGGUUGGAUCACCU